rnacentral:rRNA from 1 species
AGGGUUUGAUUCUGGCUCAGGAUGAACGCUAGCGACAGGCUUAACACAUGCAAGUCGAGGGGCAGCGGUGUUGGAGGCUUGCCUUCAACAGCCGGCGACCGGCGCACGGGUGAGUAACACGUAUGCAACCUGGCCGUCACAGGAGGAUAACCGGUAGAAAUGCCGCCUAAUACUCCAUGACACCGAGUAGGGACAUCCCUUCCUGGUCAAAGGAAUUUAUUCCGGUGACGGAUGGGCAUGCGGCGCAUUAGCUAGUCGGCGGGGUAACGGCCCACCGAGGCGACGAUGCGUAGGGGUUCUGAGAGGAAGGUCCCCCACAGUGGAACUGAGACACGGUCCAA